UUUACUUUCGAUUCUCUCUCUCUCUCUCUCUCUCUCUCUCUCUCUCUCUCUCUCUCUCUCUCUGCGUGUGUGUUUAUCUGCUUUCUGUGAUUUUCUAUAUAUGUAGGGUUUUUAGGUUUACAUGGAGAGAAAUACAGUUGAUGCAGGAUAGCAUGUAUGUGAAACGAAACAACAUGACUGCAGACCAGCACUCGCACACAAAUAAUAAAAUAAAUAAACAUAAAUAAAUCUCCUAGCAGAUGAAUCGGGAGAUUCUAGUGCUAGUAUUUGUGUUGCGGGUGUGUUAGAAACAACAGAGAGCCAUUUAGUGUCACUGCACACGUGUAAUAAUGUUUUAUUAUUAUUUUCAUUCGUGUGAUCCAGACACGAAUGAUUUCUGUUGCUGAGGAGAGGUUUGGUGAUAUUUAAAGUGACCAGGCUUACAAUUUCCACCAGCUGGACCAUGAAUCUGGUGACAGAGUCACAGAGCCGGAGCAGGAGCGGAUAUCAUCAACACUUGUGUCUGAACUUUACCAUUAUCAGUGGAAACUUAAGAUGCAGAAGAUCACGACUGCUGUGACAAUCAACAGAGAUCCAGCAGAGAUCAACACGAUCAGAAACACAGAGUCUGGAGGAACUGAAGAAGAGUAAAAGACAGACAGUCAUUAAUGUAAGUGAUUGAAUCAGUCUGAUCUACAACAGAAGACAGAGAUCAGCUCAAUGAAUAACUUGUGGAAGAACCUGAACAUGUGUGACAGAGCUGAGUGAUGUCCAGAUGUUGAGUCUGGUUGCUGAUGGGAUUGUUGAGCACACAGCUGUAGCUGUUUUUAUCCUGAUAUUCCACCUCCAGAGGUAGAGAGAGACUGAUGCUGAGAUCAGACACACUGAUGCUGGACAAUAAACUGUUUCCUUUGUACCAGGAGAGAGUCACAUGACUCACAUUCACCACUGAACACACCAAUGAACAAUUCUGCUCUGAGGAUGAGGAGGAUGAAGAACAUUGUGAAGAGUUACUGCUGAUGACAGGAACAGACAGACGAGCUGAGAAACAUCAGAGAAUAAACAUGAACACAAAAAUCUGCUUAUUUUGUAGUGAAUAUCAGUAAUAAAUGUUGUGUUAAGUGAAUGUUAAGUGUGUUAAUGGUCACUGAAUGUGUCGGUCAUCUCAAAGUAUAAAAUGAAUAAAUAUUUGACAGUGUAAAUAGAA